rnacentral:rRNA from 1 species
GAUGAACGCUGGCGGUAUGCUUAACACAUGCAAGUCGAACGGACUCUUCGGAGUUAGUGGCGGACGGGGGAGGAACGCGUGGGAAUCUGGCUUUGGGUUCGGGACAACCACUGGAAACGGUGGCUAAUACCGGAUGUGCCGAGAGGUAAAAGAGAAAUUGCCUGAAGAUGAGCUCGCGUCUGAUUAGCUAGUUGGUGAGGUAAAGGCUCACCAAGGCAGCGAUCAGUAGCUGGUCUGAGAGGAUGACCAGCCACACUGGGACUGAGACACGGCCCAGACUCCUACGGGAGGCAGCAGUGGGGAAUUUUCCGCAAUGGGCGAAAGCCUGACGGAGCAAUACCGCGUGAGGGAAGAAGGCUCUUGGGUUGUAAACCUCUUUUCUUAGGGAAGAACAAAAUGACGGUACCUAAGGAAUCAGCAUCGGCUAACUCCGUG